rnacentral:sRNA from 1 species
UAGGAAGUAAAACGGCUGCUGGGGCAAC